UCCCUGGUGGUCUAGCAGGUUAAGGAUCCAGCAUUGCCACUGCUGUGGCUCAGGUUCAAUCCCUGGCCCAGGAA
rfam:Sus scrofa chromosome 2.